CAACUCAAAACUCUUUAUUGAUGCCGUUUUAGUGUGUUGCGGCGACUGACGGUUCGUUUUCGUCAAGAUGUAUUUUUUUCCUGAAUAUCUUAUUAGUUUACUUUAAUUUUAGAAGUGACGAAUGAUAGCUAAGACUAAUAUGUAACAGGUCUCGUGUGACUAGUAUGGUAGUUUAAAGUGAUCAGAUAAAGUAGCUAUCUAACGUUACCUGCUAGCUUGUCUUUCGACGCCUACAUUAUUUGUUGCCUCAGCUUUUUUUGCGAUGGUUGCUUUUACUUGAGUACUGAAUUACUUACGAUUCGUAUGCAAUAAGAUUAACAUAGCUAUAAGAAACGAUCAAGCUGACGUGUCCGUUCUGAAAGAUGAAAGCCACAAGGUUUUCGUUAGGUGGCAGGGUAUUGUUGUUAUGCUCGUCAGUUACGUAGUUAAACACAGAAGAUUGGUUAUUUCAGCUGAGUUGGCAAAUCAACGCUAAGUAAAAGCGAAAAUGUCACAUUUGUUAACUACGGUACCUAGCCAAGAAGGCUUAUUUACUUAGCAAAAUGCGCGUGUUGUGGUGCAGUUUUAGGCCUGAUUUUUAUUUUUUAUUUUUAAAUCGCAGCUAUCUGAAGUAAAAAUGUUUUAAAGCUCAUGAAAGAAUCAGGUUGUAUAAGUGUAGUUGAAAUAACCAAGUUACAAGAUCAGAACCGUAUGAAGGGAGUGAAGCUGUUCGAAUAGCCAGCUAAAUAUUUGAAUAGAAAUUGAGCGUAGGUCCCACUUAUCCGAGGCAGUAUAGCCACUUCAAUGCGUAUACUAUUUUCUUCACCUAAAAUGAAGACUAGUUUACAAGAGAAAUUUGAGCCCUUGGGAAUGGGCAGUAAAAUAUACCACUUACAAGACAGCCAUCUUGUGAAGACACGGAUAAUGGCCAGCUAAAUAUUUGAAGAUCAAGUUGUGUAGGUCCCUGAUAUACUUCAGUGCGUUAUAAGUGUUGCUUUUAGUCGGUUGCGCAUCAGGAAAACUAAUUUUGUAGUGAAAAGGGAACCAAGGUACAAGACUAUCCUUUCAAAAGUUUACUCUUUUUGAUUCUAGCCAGAAAAAAGUGUUUUAUCUAAACUGAAUAAGUACUGGUAGUUUGUCUCAAAUCAGUAUAGGCAACAUGUGAAAUAACCAAGUUACUGAUCUUGAAGCCUCUUGAAUAGCCAACUGAAUAUUGUAAGUUGUGCUGCAUUGGCCUUUUGAUCAUUUGAGUUCUAUUUAUUGUUUUUAACCUGAAGUGAAGUACAAUAGCUAACAAAAUAUUGGAAGAUUAUUUAGGCCAACAGUGCCUGUUUGUCGGUCAUUUAAGCUGCUUCAAGAAGUAAAAAUGUUUUGAGCCUAAAAUGAACAAGAUGUGCUGCCGGUUACAUUUCCAAGUACAUCAGUUGCUUUGCUAGCACUAGUGGUAGGUGAAGGAGGUGCAGGCUCGUGACGUUGCUUUGUCACGCUUCAUUCAGAUUUGAUCAACUUUAUCUAAACACAAUUUGCUCUAGUUGGCGAAGAAAAGAAGAUUUUGCUGUAGAAGAAUGGACUGAGUUUAAAAACAUUAAGGGGUGGGUGGGCACUAAGUAUGCAGUUUGAUCAGAUGAGGAAGGACGACUUCAGGAUCAGGCAAGAACCAGGCAGAGGGAAACUGGUAGGACCAGCGGGGAGCCAGGCAGGAUCCAGGUGGAUUGCGGGAGGAGCCGAUGGGACCCAGUUGAGCGAGCGGAACGCAGCAGUUUUCAUCAGAGGGAGCGUGCCAGAUGGCAGGGUAGCGAGCUGAGAGCGGAGCAGUCCCAGGUCGAGCGUUGCCCCAAUGCAGCCAGUGGGUCCCAGCAGAAAUGAGGCAGACGAGUAAAAGGGUCAACUAGUUUCGCAAGUGACAAUAAGUGUUUGUAUGAUGGGUAGCGGUAUCGGGUAAUGUUUAACUAGGCCAACAUCUUUGAAAUUAGUCCAUAUUAAAUCUGUCAACACAUUUUCUCGCGAAGUUUUCUUCCUCUUUCAGGUAAAGUGUUAAUUUUCCUGGUUUUGGCCUCUUCCUGUCUGCUGUGAUGAGUCCCCCUUGGCCUACUUGGUAGAGUGCACUGGCGAGAGGACUGUCUUAAAGGAUUUCACCCUCCUGCAGCGCAGAUGUAGUAUCCCCCUGGGCGGAGAAGUUUCUUCAUUGAGUUCAUUAAGUCUACUCCCCUGAGAAGUGGUCUACAUGGGAGUGUUGAGUCGAAAUUCUUCUGUACGUUCGUGCGGCUUUGGUGCUGAGCAGCUACAUCUGCUGGUUAAAGCUCGCACCUUAAAGCAAACCUGACCAUCCAAGGGAGUCCCUCUUUAGUACUGCCCACCACAUUAAUGAAAACGGUUGAGCAUGUUCCCGAAACAGAUCAUUCUAAGGAUGGAUCAAGGGAAAUCUCUGGUGUUAAAAUCAUGUAGGAAGGUAUUUUGUACUGGUUUUCUGUAGCGAGUUAAUCAUUUGCUUAUACUGUUUUUCUUCCAAUAUUUUGUAGGGAUACACACUUGGGUUCUGGGAGGGUUGUGGGGGUGUUAAUCAAAUAUUUCCUAGAAUUUUUUUUCACACAGCUUCGUGUAAAGCAGCAUUUUAAAGAUCCAAAUGAUUAGCGUUGAUGUUUGAGGAGCAAGGAGUCAACCCGGUGGUCCACGUCUUUCGGGGUUCCUUUUGCGUUGUGGUGUGGAUAUUCCUUGGUGUCUACAAUGAUGUAGCAGGAAGCGGGCCACCUCUUGGGAUGUGAACUUGCGGUGUUCUCCUAGGGAGUGUGGUAACUUAACUUUUAGACUGAUGCAUUUUAUAUCCUGGAGUUGAAAUUUGCAUUUGGGGUUUCUGGGGUCAGGGGAGGGCUUUAACUGUGACUCUUCCAGAUUAUGACCCACCCCUCAAUGAAAGAGACUGGAGGUCUACAUCUCCCCCGUCUUAAGGAGAACAGCUGAUGCCUUGAGGCCAGUGGUAUUUAACUGUUUCUUGUGUAAAGUUAUUGUGUACGUGAAUUUGUGUUUUUUAAUUGUAUUUUAGCAACUGUUAAUACAAUUUUGAUAGUGGGUUGGUUACUGUAUGGGUUGGAAUGGUGGAAGUCUUGUUUUCCCUUUUGCGUUUUCCAGUGUGCUGUGUCCUACGCUUUCAGUACUGAAGAUCAACAGGAACGCCCCUAACUCAUUGUAUGUCAAGGUUUACUAUUGCUUCAAAACACCUCAUUAGGUCUCAAGUAAGGUCCCUUACAAAUGUUUUCACAUUUUAUAUUUCAUUAAUGACAUUUGGCACCUUGCCUUAAUUGCACGCCUUUGCAAAUUAGUUAAAUGUUUUGUAUUGAUGCAACAGAACAUUGUCAAGGAAUUAUAAUUGGUAAUAAAUGCGUAGCUUUUUGUGAUUGAA